rnacentral:rRNA from 1 species
UACGUAGGGGGCAAGCGUUGUCCGGAAUUAUUGGGCGUAAAGAGCGUGUAGGCGGUCCGGUAAGUCAGCUGUGAAAGUCAAGGGCUCAACCCUUGAAUGCCGGUUGAUACUGUCGGGCUAGAGUCCGGAAGGGGCGAGUGGAAUUCCUGGUGUAGCGGUGAAAUGCGCAGAUAUCAGGAGGAACACCAAUGGCGAAGGCAGCUCGCUGGGACGGUACUGACGCUGAGGCGCGAAAGCGUGGGGAGCAAACAGG